rnacentral:misc_RNA from 1 species
AGGGGCCACGGUGGUUCCCUCCUUACCUUAAGAACCUGCCUUUGUAGUGCUCACACACAUUGUCUGAUGAAAAUAACAGUAAAAGGCUCUGCCGGCUUGUUGCUAAUGUGGUGCCCCCGUCCCCCUGAUAACGGUGACGUCGGUGUUUCACGGCCACUCGGGGCUUUCUCCUCCCCUGGGAGACACCUCUUGGUGGUUCUUGAGUGAAACCUGCUGCCUUUCUAUCUCCUCCUCGUCUUCAACUGACGUUUGAUAUAUUUGUUCUUUAAAAAUCUGGAUCUAACUAUUAAUUGGAACAACACCUGUCUUGUGUGUGUUCGAGUCUAUCCAAUUUCCCCCAUUUGAUGGUGAAUCAAAACAAACAUCUUCGGGAUGUUAAGCUAAGAAACUUAACAUGCGGAUGCCUUGCCAUUGCUCUUUAAAAAUCUGGAUCAAAAUGAAAAUUGAAACCACACACAUUUUAUGUGUGUUCGAGUCUCUCUAAUUUUCGCAAUUUGAUGAAGAAUCGAAAGAAACAUCUUCGGGUUGUGAGGUUAAGUGACUAAGCGUACACGGUGGAUGCCUUGGCACUUU